GCCUUAGUAGUAUAAAAAUUACAUUGGUCUUGUAAACCAAAAACGGAGUACAAUUCUCCCUAAGACA
rnacentral:tRNA from 1 species